rnacentral:rRNA from 1 species
AUUGAACGCUGGCGGAAUGCUUUACACAUGCAAGUCGAACGGCAGCACGGACUUCGGUCUGGUGGCGAGUGGCGAACGGGUGAGUAAUACAUCGGAACGUGCCCAGUCGUGGGGGAUAACGUAGCGAAAGCUACGCUAAUACCGCAUACGAUCUAAGGAUGAAAGCGGGGGACCGUAAGGCCUCGCGCGAUUGGAGCGGCCGAUGGCAGAUUAGGUAGUUGGUGGGGUAAAGGCCUACCAAGCCGACGAUCUGUAGCUGGUCUGAGAGGACGAGCAGCCACACUGGGACUGAGACACGGCCCAGACUCCUACGGGAGGCAGCAGUGGGGAAUUUUGGACAAUGGGCGCAAGCCUGAUCCAGCCAUUCCGCGUGCAGGAUGAAGGCCCUCGGGUUGUAAACUGCUUUUGUACGGAACGAAAAGGCUCUGGUUAAUACCUGGGGCUCAUGACGGUACCGUAAGAAUAAGCACCGGCUAACUACGUGCCGGCCGCCGCCGUAA